UGAGGAUUGUUAUACCUUGGGAUUUGAAUCCCAUAGUUCAGAGGAUUUGAUAAUAAAGGUGGCUUUGUUUAGAAUCAAUCAUAAAACUAAUACAGAAUCAUGCAGUAAAAAUUCCCUUGCCAUUGCUUAUCAGACAAGGUUUUUAUCACUGACGAUAAGCGACUGCAAUUCUGGAAACUGUAUUUGGUGUGAUUCGUAAUGCUAUUAUCUGAUCAUGCCCAGACUCUUUUUCUUGGUACGAGGUCCGAUGUCUUUACUUGAUCUAUUUUAGCAGCUAUGAUGAAAUCAUUCAUGCUCAAACCUCCAAUCGAAGGAGUCCACAGCUCAGCAUGAACUUGAUUAGACUGUUGUAAUUGAUGAAGAGUGGGGAGGUGCCCUGUGCCUUCCACCACCUUGCCUAUUCUAUUGAUUAGUUCAACCCCACAAUCAAAGUCUUUUAAUUUCCAUGUGCAUUGUAGUUUAAGCACCCCAUCUUCAUUUGCUAUUCUCCAGCCAACAACCUUGAAUAAAAGCUGUUUAGCUUCAAAUUCGGACAAGGGAGUCUGAUUGGGUGAGAUAUCAGUGCAUUCCUGAUUAGCAAGGGACAAAGCAGAGGCAGCUGGGAUGAGAAUUUUGUGCUCCGUGUCAGGAUUACCCAAAACCUUUUCACCAAAUUUACUCUCCACUUCAGCUGGAAAUGGGUCUCUGGCCCCAAAAUCACCUAAUAAGUUAGUAUUGCAACGUAUUCUUGUGCAAAUUCGAGAUUGACUGGUCUGGAGAUUGGGAGUAACAAAGUUAGGUUUGCGUAAAGGGAGAGAAGAAACUGAAAUUGGUGGAGAAAAAGAAAGAUGAGUUGCAGCAGCCAUCUGAGAAAGAGAAGAGGAGUUCACUGCUCUGCUCUGCUCUGCUCUUAUUAGAGAG
rnacentral:misc_RNA from 1 species